AAUCAACGCUGGCGGCGUGCCUAACACAUGCAAGUCGAACGCGAAAAGGGGCAACCCUGAGUAGAGUGGCGUCCGGGUGAGUAACACGUGGAUAAUCUGCCUGCGGGCGGGGAAUAACUUUCCGAAAGGGGAGCUAAUACCGCAUAACACCGUAAUAGGGCAUCCUGAUACGGUCAAAGAGGGGGAUCGCAAGACCUCUCGCCUGCAGAGGAGUCCGCGGCCGAUUAGCUAGUUGGCGAGGUAACGGCUCACCAAGGCAGCGAUCGGUAGCCGGCCUGAGAGGGCGAACGGCCACACUGGCACUG
rnacentral:rRNA from 1 species